rnacentral:lncRNA from 1 species
AGAACCCCAAUUGGGUUCCGGUGACGCCCAAUUGAGUUCGAAAGAAUCCCAAGUCACCGCCACCCUCCAAUCCUUGAAAACCCAAUUCGAUUCCGUUGAAACCCAAGUCAAAACCGACGAGCCUUCGCCGGAAAUGUCGACCUGCAAUGGCGUCCCGAUAAAUGACGGCAAGGCGUUGCUGUUGUAUGCGAAUGAGCAUUUGAAAGAGAAGGGUUCGGUGCGUGAUGGUAUUGUGAAUGCGCUUAAGGCUUCUGUGGAUGCUGGGAAGCUAGUGCUCGAGGCAGUGAAAUGGUUUUAUCCGUCAGAAUCGAAUAAGGGAGGUAAGGAGCUUGACUUCAGUGUUACCAGGAAAAGUUGUGCGAUUUUGUUACAAGGGCUGGUGAAUGUGAAACCAGUGAUUAAACCCGAGAUCAUCAGAGAGGCAAUGAAGCUUGCAUUGGCUUGGAAGGCAAAGGUGAUAACUCAAAUGUCGAACUCUUUGGAGGUUUGGGUUUUUUUUCAGCUUCUGGAUGCUUUUGGGUUGGGUGGUGAGUUUGACAGUGAUGAGAUUUUGAAGCUUUUUAGUUGCGUAGCAGAUCGGUAUUCUGCACCGGAGUUGUUUAGGUCCCUUGGUUUCGCCGAUAAAGCCUCUGGUGAGUUUUUGGAGAGCCUUCCUUAUUGUUGUUCCUAUCUUUUUAUGAGACAUUUAAUUUAUUGAUUGCUUUCAGUGUUGAGUACUUGUAGUUUUACUCCUAUGAAUUCAAUGAUGGGUUCGGUAUUGUGGAGAUUGUGUGAUAUUUUUCUAAACAAAAGCAUACAUAGUUUCAGGGAAAUCUACUUAGUUUGAGUGCACCCUUACGGACAAAGUUAGGUAAGUAUCUGUUGAUAGUUGAUACAAUGAAUGUCACCUUGUGAGGUUGCCUUUACGGUUUUAGAAGAAAUCAUGGGAAGAAGGUUAUGCUCUUGUUAUUUUAGAUGUCUUCUAUUAAGGUCUGCUAGAAAUUCUCCUGAUAUAUAUGUCUUGAAAUAGAAAAUGUUUAGUUUUUGGUUUUUGCUACCUCCUUUUUUUGUAGUCGGUUAACUCUUAAUUAUUAUUUUUUUUUUUUUUGUGACGCAGAUUUCAUCCAAAAGCUUAUAUCAGAGAAUAAGCGGGUUGAUGCUGUUAGAUUCAGUCGUGCAUUUGGACAGUUUGACAAGUUCCCCCCUGUACCCUUGCUUAAAGCACAUUUAAAGUUCAUCACGGAAGAUGCAAGGACAAGUUCCAAGAGUGGGCAAGACCAUCUUAAAGCACAGGUAUAGGUGGUGUUUCUUUUGCCUCAUCAACCGUCCUUAGACUCAGAACGAACUUUUAUAUAGUGUUGAUCAUUAAAUCCCCUGCAGGAUGAGUCCUUAGACAAAGAAAUAGCUGCUCUAAUAGGCAUAAAACGUUGCGUUGAGGACUACAAGCUUGUUGUUGAACCAGAAUAUUAUCCCAAGACCCUCGGAAAACACAUUAGGCAGCUGAAAAGGGUGAGAAAACAUAGGAAAGCAACUCUAAGGGAGAGUAAACAUAGGAAAGCAACUCUAAGAGCCCCUGGCCCUAAGGCUCAGCCGCAACCCCUGAGUGGAAAGAAACGUACUGCCCCAGGUCAGCCAAAUGAGCAGAACAGAAAUAAGCAUCCUCGAACAGCUCCAGCUUUAGCUGCUCAAACUGUUUCUCUCAGAGGACCAGCCACAGUAGGCGCUAUACAACCAUCUUAUAUUCGCCAAGUAAGCUUGUAUGACAGUCGAAGUGCAGAAUACUUGUUAUCGUCAGCUGGAAUGCCCAGACAAGCAACCACUCCGCCCAGUACUUCUUAUGGCGCCAUUUCCACCUUGAACCCACUGCGAGCAUCUCAUCAUCAGCAAGGAGGCUCAUUCAUCGGUCAAGGUGCAGAAUACCCUUCUCGAUACUAUGAUUCAGCACACUACGCUCCUGAUACUAUUAAUAACUUAUCUGCUCGAUCGUAUGAUUUGGUGGGUUCCUCUCCUGGUACCCGUGGCCAGCUCGUGAACUUAACAGCUCGAGACUAUGGAUUGACGGGUCCGUCUCAUGUACAUACUAACUCAGAACCUGGGGGCAGUGGUCCAGAUCUGAGUCCAUUAGUCGCACGAUACAGAACAAGUAUACCUGCAAAUGGAAGGACUGGACAGUUAGGAUCAGCAGGAAGCCCUACACCGAUGCGCAUUGCAAGCCCGAACAGUUCCAUCCCCUAUGCCUAUAGGGAUCCGCUUAGGGCGCCUAACUACAAUGACCGGGCGGUGCCUUCCAGCAGUGGCUAUGGCGCACCGUCUCAGCACCCCCCAGCCAUUUACCACCUUUAGUCCAAUCCUAUAGUUCUUGGUAACUUACAUUCACAACCAAUGAUUCCGUUUAGACUACUGUGUUUCGAAUUCAGACCCUUCUUUCUCUGUAAUUUAGAGUAAAGCAAAACCGCAGAAAAACCUUCAUUUAUAUGCAUCAAUUUCUUUAUUUUAACAAAGGGUGGUACAAGUAAAGCAGCCAAAUUGACAUGCCCUUAACAAUUUUGACAUCACUAAAUAUUAGUUUCUACGCCCUCUAUCUUGAAAAAGGCUAUCAAUUCCCGCGGCCCUCCAUCCUUAUCGAGUACUUCUGUUUUGUACUUUCCAGUGGGAUUGGGCAAAGACUCGUCCUUGGCCGCAACAACAAGCAAAUAUAAUGUGCCUGAUUCAUAAAACGAUGUCCGAGCCGAAAUCACUGUUUCAAAUACUAACUUGUUUGUGGCAUUCUUGUUGUUCUCGGAAACGGCUCACUCUCCGAUCUCCGUCGCGUUUAAAUUGAUGCCGUCUAUAGGCUUCCAGGUACUGGGAACGUUGUUUGUUGUAGUAGCGGUUGCCAGAGAAACCAGCAGAGCAAGGAGAGCGAGAAAGAAGCAAUGGGGACGCAUUUUGUAACCCAUGAGUUCGGUUCAAGAAGCAAUGAGUCUUGGGAAAAUUGUUAUUGAUGCAAGGAUAAUCAUACAACAUAUGGUCAAAUACUUGUGGGUAUAUAUAUUAGACAAGCAUGGAUAUGGUGCACUGAAUCGGGACAGACAGGCUAGCUAGUAUAGAAAGCAAUAAUAACGACGAGAAAUUUUUCAAAAUAAUUGGUAUUCAAGCUGAUGCUUCACGUGUUAUAAUAUAUGUGAAGAGAUAAAGAAUUAAUACACUGUAUUUUAACAUUUCCAAAUAACUUCAAUUGUCUUUUAAGUCACUUUCCGUACCUAAUAUGUGUCCAAAUAGAAAUUAUGUGAAAAAAUGGCUAGAUUCAAUGCAAACCAUUAUACGAGGCUCUAAUUAUUCAGGCAAUUAAUCACAUAUAUGAACUUUGUAUAUUUGACAUCUCACAUUCAAUUUACAUGCAAGAGAUUUUGCAGUAUGCUCAGAACAUAGGCACAUAUAUACGUCGUAUGUCAUUACAGAAGUGGAGAGAAACUUGAAAGAAACACUUCUUUUCACUUGUAUAAUAAUAUAUGACGUACCGCUUCGUGUUCUGGACACAUUAAAAUAUUACUUUUUACAUACGUGGCCCUUAUCUGUGAUAUUAUUUUAUUUGGAAAGGUACAAAUUUCAAUAAAAACCAAAACCCAUCCUUCCAAUUUGUAAGAUAAACGGAAUUAGGCAGCAUUCAAUUUAUAGCUUUGCUAUAUCAAACCAUCAGCAGUUCAGCAAUAGUAAGACUGUCCUUCAUCUGUAUAUUUGGAUUUGCUUUACUGAGAACCGAAAACCUACUACGAUACGUCCUCAUUGCUUCCUCGCACUCCUUACUCUGCUUACUCUUGCGGCUGCCGCCGCGACGAGGGAAGUGAGUCCCCCGUGGAAGGAUAUUAAGGACCUCAAGGAUCCAUAUGUGAUAAGCAUUGCAGAGUGGGGGGUCUCAGAAUACAACAAGAAUGUCACAGGCACAAACAAGUUAGUGUUUCAAAAUGUGACUUGGGGGGGAAGCGCGUUUAUUUCAAACACGUUUUAUGGGCCGAUCAUAUGCGGCAAAAAAUUAGUCGUUAACUAUCCCACCAGAAGAGUAUAGACUUGGUGUAUGGGACAGAUUUCUAACCAGGCUAUUCCGGGGCUUAAGAAAAAAUGAUGGCUCUGAUGUUUAGUAUUUCAAAUUUACGGUUUAGUAUUAGGGUUUGUAAGUGUUAAAAGUAUGGACAAUGCUAGGGAGAGUAAAUUUGUAGAGAAAAUUUUGUAAAAUAAAUGACAUAGAAGUCGAUAAUUGAAUUAUGACUUAAGCGUUGAUGAACAUAUUCAUUCCUAUUGGUGACAUACUAUUUAGUUUGUAAAUUUUGUCUACAAAUUUAGUCUCCCUAGCAUUACCAUAAAAGUAUAUACACUUAUGAUUGCAAAUUUUGCCUACAAAAUUAAUCUCCUAGCACGGUGCUUGCGAAAAACAAAAAUAAGAAGUUUCCCAGAAAGUGCAAGGCAAUGCCGGAAUCAAGGUGGGUGAGAUCAAAGCUAUGAAAUAGCAUUGAAAAGGACCACAGACGUCUCAUCGUUAACAACACCCUCCCCGAACACUAGACUGUAGAGUAAAGAAUAUUGUCUUUUGAUGACUUAUCAUUCAACCUUAUCACUGCUGCAAUGGCAGCAUGGUUUAUAUACAGUUUACAUACACGCAUGCAAUAAACAACAAUAAAGGUGACAGAAACUAAAGAAAAAUAAAGAUGGCAGAAACCAUGUGAUUGUCUGGCUGGGAGUAUUCCUUCUGUCGUCCAGGUUGUACAGCUAGUUAGUGGGAGUAUUCCUUCUGUUGUCCAGGUUGUACAGCAGCUAGUGGGAUUAUUAGUGGACAGCUAGUGGGAUUAUUAGCUUCAUCAUUAUUAGCUUCAUCAUCCCCCCGCAAGCUCAUGAGCGGACGACGAACGAGCUUGGAUUUUAAGAAAUGAAAACGAUCAGCAGAUAAGCCCUUGGUGAAUAUGUCUGCAAUCUGAAAAGUAGUAGACACAUGAUAGACAUUUAAUGACUUUGCCACUACAAGCUCACGCACAAAAUGAUAAUCCACAGCAACAUGUUUUGUUCGAGCAUGGAACACGGGAUUAGAUGCCAAUGCAAUGGAGCUUGUGUUAUCACACCAAAUUAAAGCAGUCGAGGGCAUGUUAACCGGUGCUCAAUACCAUUAUUAAUUAAAAAUUGUUGAAAUUCCUUACUCAUAAAUUCACCCCCGCCAUCAGUUUGGAAAGAUUUUAUCUUAUAAACAGUAUGGAUAGAUAGAAGAUUUUCAAGAAGCAAUUUAAAUUUUUGAAAAUAAGAAAAAGCUUCAUGUUUAAAUCUCAUAGGAAAUAUCCAAGUAUAACGAGAGUAAUCAUCAAGAAAUAUUAUAAAAUACUUGGAACCCUUAACAGAGGCAAUUGGUGAAGUCCAAACAUCACAAUGAAUCAAUUGAAGAGGACAAACUGAAACUGAUGGAGACAAAGCAAAAGGUAAUUUAGUGCUUUUGCCCAAUGGGCAAGCAGAGCAAAAACUAGGGAACUAGAAUCCUUAAUAGGAAUAGAGGACAUAAUUUUUUUAAAAAUUGCAGGAGAUGGAUGACUGAAACGCUGAUGCCACAUAAAUGAAGAGGUUCGUUGUCCAAAUAAUGCCACGUUCUUGAAAGGAAACUUUUCCACACGAAACGGAUACAAUCCAUUCUCACUCUUGCCGUGGAAAAGCGUCUUCCCCGUGGAUAGAUCCUUCACAAAAAAAUCAGUAGGAGUGAAAAUGAAGUAGCAAUGAUUAUCACAACAAAAGCGAUGAACGCUCAAUAGAUUAGCAGAAGCAGAAGGACAAUGCAAAACAGAAUUUAAAGGAAAUUGAGACACAAAACCAGAACCAAUAUGCUUUAUAGACAAACCUGCACCAUUACCAACCGCGACCUGGUCUUGGCCAGUAUAUUCUGUGGAAAGGCUCAAAUUAGCUAAAUCAUUGGUGAUAUGGGACGAUGCGCCACUGUCGGUAUACCAUGUAGGGAACCGUGCAUUAACCACAGGAGAGGCAGCCAUCAUAGCAUGUGAUUGUGGAUAGCGGCCUUCGGAAAAAGGAGACUUGAAACAAUUUGCGGUAGAAUGACGAUGAUCACCACAAUAGUUACAAAUAUUAGAGGAAGAAGGAGCAUCCGCAGCAUGGUUGGGAAGAUAGGAAGAGCGACGAAGACCAGCAUUUGGUGUAGGAAGAAGUCCUCGAUUCUGAAACGAGCCACGACCGGAUCCACCAUGAAACAAACCACUGUUUGAACCACCACGACGGCCAACAAAAGGAUUACCAGCACUGCGACCUUGAAAAAAGCCACGACCUUGAAAACCACCACGACGGAAUGAGGAUGUACGACCAUUUCCUCGGUGAAGUGUGGUUCCACGACCAGGAUUGGGAGUGGAGCCAGAAGGGGCAAAGAGAGCUGUUGUGGUGUGAUCAGGACUGAAAGUAGUGCUAUAGUCGUCCAUACGGCUUUCAGCGCUCAAGAGCAAAGCAACCAUAUCGUCAAGACUCAUAGGAUUUUCUCUUGCUUGAACCGAAGUAACUAUACUUUCGAAAGCAGGACCAACACCAUUCAAAAUCAGCUCCAUAAGAUCAUCGUCAUCAACAGGUUUUCCCGCAAGAGCCAAUUGAUCAGCAAAGUUAGUUAAUUUAUCAACAUAGUCUGUGAUGGACAUGUUACCUCUUUUAGUGGACUGCAUCUGGUGCUUAAGUUGAAGAACACGGGUGCGAGAUUGAGAAGCAAAACGUGUUUUCAGAGUAUCCCAAGCAGCUUGGGAUGUGUCACAGGUUGCGACGAUGGAAAGCACAUUGGGUGUCAAAGUUGAGUUAAUCCAACUUAACAAUUGUUGGUCCUGUCGCUGCCAAGUUACGUACUCGGGAUUGAGAGUAGAAGUAUUCUCAAGAAACUUGGUUGGACAUGUUUUUGUACCAUCAACAUAGGCAACAAGAUCAUUACUUUUAAGUAAGGGAUUAAACUGGGCAAGCCACAACAUGUAAUUGGUUCGAUCAAGUUUGAUGGAAACCAGAUAGGAAAUAUUAGGAAGGGAGCUGGUAAGAAGAGAAGAAGAAGCAGCCAUGGAAGCGGAAGAAAAUUUGAGAAGAAGGGAAGGCAGAAAAAAAAAAAAAGGCAAGAAGAAAGAAAAAUAUGAGGAUCGUCAUGCUGGCGACCUUGGAAAUGUCACUGUUGGGGAUGAUGGUAGAUAACCUUUUCUUCUUUUGCUCUUUCUAACUGUUUUGUAAUUGCCUGGAACACUCUUUUAUGUUUUCACGCCUUGAUACUUACGGGCUAAUGACAGCUUAAUGUGUUUCUUAUCUCCUUGCUUCAGGAACUGCAACCUUCACUCUUAUUGACAAGCAGGUUUGUGAUUGACCUCCCCAAUUAUUAUUUGUUUAUGCUAUUAUUAAAACUUACGUAUUCAGAUAGCUCUUGAGUUUCAUUUCAUCUUUUAUAAAGGUUACAUUAUUGUUUGCAGAUACCUCUAACCGGACCACACUCUGUCAUUGGUAGGGCAGUUGUUGUCCAUGGCGACCCAAAUGACCUGGGCAAGGGUAAUCUUUAUUGUUCUCUCACUCCUCUCUCUCUUAAGUGGUUCCAUCUUAUAGUACUGAUUAGCUAGUCAGUGUGAUGGGCGCGCCUUAUCAUCAUUCAGUGGGUCACCCCACUUCACGUCUAUCUGUGACCUGCAGUGAGCACUCUUGUACGUACGGGUAGUUUUAGCCUGCUUCUGAUUCCAAUUGGUAUACAAUAGCUUCUACAUAGGUGCAAAUCAUUUGGGGAUCGGUAUUUUGGUUUUCAUCAUUGCUCUAUCUUGUGCUCCUCAUCCUUUCAAAUGAGCUACAGACUAGCGGGUGACUGUCAGUUUGUUGUUCCUCAGAGUUAUUUUCUAUUUCCUUAUAAAUUUUAGUUACCAUUUAGGUUUAAGCAUGAACAACCUUACGGCUACAUUAUUUCUCUACUCACAGUGAAUGCACUUGGAAUCCGAUAUCCAAUGUAAUCCAAUACUUGUGUUUCUGUACACAGGUGGACAUGAGCUUAGCAAAUCCACUGGAAAUGCUGGUGGCAGGGUAGCUUGUGGUAAGCUAAUUUGCUUAAUCUCAUCAAACCCAAUGUUUUUGCUAUAGAAUUAAAUGUCAUAUAAUUUUGGACCAUUCUUGUUGGAUGAUCAUGGUAAGGCGCUUUCAACAUCGAUAGAAAACGGAAUGUCUUCCCUAAAAUUACAAUAGAUGACUAUUUGCAAAAUCUUGGACCGUCUCCGUCACCAUUCCAGAUGAGGAUGGAAAACUUAAACCAAGUUGUGGUUUAUAUACACGGCCCCUGUUUUUGUGUUUGUCUAUAGGCAUCUACCUAGGUUGCGUAGUUUUUAUAAUGUUAUUGUGGAGAUCUCUGUGUUGCGUAGUUAUACUGAUUCGUGUCCGUCAACAUGCUUCUAAUUAUGUUCCGGUGUGUCUACUUUUGUGCAGGUAUUAUCGGUCUGCAAGGAUGAACUUGAGCACCAAGCGAAAGACAUGGAGUUUCAGUUAAAUGUAUGAAGUUUCUAUAAGCCUGAGAGAAAUUUAGAACUCUUUUGAAUAAGAAAAAUACAUGUCUUGUUUAGCUGACAGUGUUUGGUGUUUAAAAUUCUGUCCAAACUUCAUUGACUGGAAAUCUUGGAUGCAUAAAGUGCUUAUGAGUUUGAUCAUGUGUGUUUCUUUCGUUCUCAUUCGUUGAUCGUUAUUUCAAGGCCUGAAACUACUUCUGGAAGUGAUAAAAAAACGCUUGUUCUAAAAGCGUUCCAAUAGCAUUGUACGUCUUACAAAAGCAAAUUUCAAAUGGAUCAAGGCCUGAAAUUGCUCGUGGAAAAGCUAAAAACGCUUUAUGACAAUCAAAAGCAAUUGCGAGUCAUAAGAAAACUUGUAAAUACGUUUUAUGAGCAUAAGUGUCUUUCAUAAGCAAAUCGCAAAUGGAUUGGGGAGCAUGAAACUGCUUCUGAAAGAGCUAUAACAUUUUUUUUUGACAUCAAAAAAGAUUGUGAGUCAUAAAAGUGCUUAUAAACAAAAGUGCGUCCUACAUAAGCAAAUCGAAACUGCUUCUGAAAGAGCUAAAACAUUUUUUUUGACAACAAAAAAGAUCGUGAGUCAAAAGCACUUACAAACAAAAGUGUGUCUUCCGUAAGCAAAUCACAAACGGACACGGGGUCAAAUUUGAGUUUAUACAGAUUUGGCCCAAACAAAUAGUUUUGGGCCAAAAUUUGCUUAAUAGCAACAACACAAACUCACGUGCGAAACGAACUUACGUUAACUGGUUUCGGUUGACGCCACUCCUCCUCCACAAUUUCUAGGGUUCCAUUAUUAGUUUAGCAAAUUACAAUCGAAUCCGCUCUCCGGUUUCUACUAUAUAAUCUCGCCAAGCGAUGUCGACCACCGUCGACAAAAUCUCGGGCGACCUUCACAUGACGCCGGAGCUACGCAAAUCCUUCAACCUCCUCAAGACCCACGCCUCCAAAGUUGCCAACUUUACCCUCCAAUGGCAGGACCUCGAGGAGCACUUCCGCUCCAUCGACAAUUCCAUCCAAUCCAAGCUCGACCAACUCCAAAAACAACAAUCGGAAGAGGCCCAUGUCGCUCCGGCUCCGCAAUCGCAACCCAAAGAACCCGAAUUGAAUUUUAAACCCAAUUCCGAAGAACCCCAAUUGGGCUCCGGUGACGCCCAAUUGAGUUCGAAAGAAUCCCAAGUCACCGCCACCCUCCAAUCCUUGAAAACCCAAUUCGAUUCCGUCGAAACCCAAGUCAAAACCGACGAGCCUUUGCCGGAAAUGUCGACCUGCAAUGGCGUCCCGAUAAAUGACGGCAAGGCGUUGCUGUUGUAUGUGAACGAGCAUUUGAAAGAGAGGGGUUUGGUGCGUGACGGUGUUGCGAAUGCGCUUAAGGCUUCUGUGGAUGCUGGGAAGCUAGUGCUCGA